rnacentral:rRNA from 1 species
GAGAACCACCAUAUCAUCUUGAACACAAUUGAGCUUGUCUGUUUUCAAAAGCUAAGCAACAUUGGACUAGGUUAGUACUUGAAUAGAAACCGGCAGAGAAUAAUGAGGAUCUUU